rnacentral:rRNA from 1 species
UCGAACGAGACCUUCGGGCUUAGUGGCGCACGGGUGCGUAACGCGUGGGAACCUGCCUUUAGGUUCGGAAUAACUCAGAGAAAUUUGAGCUAAUACCGGAUAAUGUCUUCGGACCAAAGAUUUAUCGCCUUUAGAUGGGCCCGCGUUAGAUUAUAUAGUUGGUGGGGUAAUGGCCUACCAAGUCGACGAUCUAUAGCUGGUCUGAGAGGAUGAUCAGCCACACUGGGACUGAGACACGGCCCAGACUCCUACGGGAGGCAGCAGUGGGGAAUAUUGGACAAUGGGCGAAAGCCUGAUCCAGCAAUGCCGCGUGAGUGAUGAAGGCCUUAGGGUUGUAAAGCUCUUUUACCAGGGAUGAUAAUGACAGUACCUGGAGAAUAAGCUCCGGCUAACUCCGUGCCAGCAGCCGCGGUAAUACGGAGGGAGCUAGCGUUGUUCGGAAUUACUGGGCGUAAAGCGCGCGUAGGCGGCUUUUUAAGUCAGGG